UAGUAAAGGAAUACCAAAUGGUUUUCCGUGCAGGAUUGCGUGAUCCAUGCACGAGGGAUGCCGCGAGACUUUCGGAAAGUGUAAAAAUACGCUUUCCGAAUGUCGAGCAACAUCCCAAGUGCAUGGAUCACGCUAUCCUGCUUGGGAAACCAUUUGGUAAUUGUUUUAUA